rnacentral:rRNA from 1 species
AGAGUUUGAUCCUGGCUCAGGACGAACGCUGGCGGCGCGCCUAACACAUGCAAGUCGAACGAGAGAUGAGGAGCUUGCUCUUCAAAUCGAGUGGCGAACGGGUGAGUAACGCGUGAGGAACCUGCCUCAAAGAGGGGGACAACAGUUGGAAACGACUGCUAAUACCGCAUAAGCCCACGGCUCGGCAUCGAGCAGAGGGAAAAGGAGCAAUCCGCUUUGAGAUGGCCUCGCGUCCGAUUAGCUAGUUGGUGAGGUAACGGCCCACCAAGGCGACGAUCGGUAGCCGGACUGAGAGGUUGAACGGCCACAUUGGGACUGAGACACGGCCCAGACUUCUACGGGAGGCAGCAGUGGGGAAUAUUGCACAAUGGGGGAAACCCUGAUGCAGCGACGCCGCGUGGAGGAAGAAGGUCUUCGGUAUGUAAAGCUCUAUCAGCAGGGAAGAAAAUGACGGUACCUGACUAAGAAGCCCCGGCUAACUACGUGCCAGCAGCCGCGGUAAUACGUAGGGGGCAAGCGUUAUCCGGAUUUACUGGGUGUAAAGGGAGCGUAGACGGCAUGGCAAGUCUGAAGUGAAAUGCGGGGGCUCAACCCCUGAACUGCUUUGGAAACUGUCAGGCUGGAGUGCAGGAGAGGUAAGUGGAAUUCCUAGUGUAGCGGUGAAAUGCGUAGAUAUUAGGAGGAACACCAGUGGCGAAGGCGGCUUACUGGACUGUAACUGACGUUGAGGCUCGAAAGCAUGGGGAGCAAACAGGAUUAGAUACCCUGGUAGUCCACGCCGUAAACGAUGAUUACUAGGUGUUGGGGAUUUAUAAAUCCCCGGUGCCGUCGCAAACGCAAUAAGUAAUCCACCUGGGGAGUACGUUCGCAAGAAUGAAACUCAAAGGAAUUGACGGGGACCCGCACAAGCGGUGGAGCAUGUGGUUUAAUUCGAAGCAACGCGAAGAACCUUACCUGGUCUUGACAUCCCGAUGCAUAACGGGUAAUGCCGUUAGUACUUCGGUACAUUGGAGACAGGUGGUGCAUGGUUGUCGUCAGCUCGUGUCGUGAGAUGUUGGGUUAAGUCCCGCAACGAGCGCAACCCUUAUCUUUAGUAGCCAGCGAGUAAAGUCGGGCACUCUAGAGAGACUGCCGGGGAUAACCCGGAGGAAGGUGGGGAUGACGUCAAAUCAUCAUGCCCCUUAUGACCAGGGCUACACACGUGCUACAAUGGCGUAAACAAAGGGAAGCGACCCUGUGAAGGCAAGCGAAUCCCAAAAAUAACGUCCCAGUUCGGAUUGUAGUCUGCAACUCGACUACAUGAAGCUGGAAUCGCUAGUAAUCGCGAAUCAGCAUGUCGCGGUGAAUACGUUCCCGGGUCUUGUACACACCGCCCGUCACACCAUGGGAGUCGGAAAUGCCCGAAGUCGGUGACCUAACCGAAAGGAAGGAACCGCCGAAGGCAGGUCUGGUAACUGGGGUGAAGUCGUAACAAGGUA